rnacentral:rRNA from 1 species
GACGAACCGAGCGAACGUUGUUCGGAAUCACUGGGCUUAAAGGGCGCGUAGGCGGCCUGUUAAGUCGAACGUGAAAUCCCCGGGCUCAACCCGGGAACUGCGUCCGAUACUGGCAGGCUUGAAUCCGGGAGAGGGAUGCGGAAUUCCAGGUGUAGCGGUGAAAUGCGUAGAUAUCUGGAGGAACACCGGUGGCGAAGGCGGCAUCCUGGACCGGUAUUGACGCUGAGGCGCGAAGGCCAGGGGAGCAAACGGG